CGUUAGCUCCUUCGGAGAUUUGCAGCACUGUCAUGUAUGAUAUGGCGGAUUGCCUUUUGUUUUUAAUCAAAGGCAGCACCGAUAACAGUCCGAUUCCUUCAUGUUGUUUUGGAUUUGAAACAGUAGUGCAAUCUAACCCCGAUUGCAUUUGUGUAGCUUUGCAAAACAGUGCCGAUCGAUUUCAAUUUUACGAAAGUCCUUACUUCGCCUUCUGCUUGUCAAGUUUUUGAUUCUCCUAUCAACAAAUGCGAUGUACUAUCUACUUCGCCUGUUGCAGCUCCUGGACCGUCGACUGCCCACCGUUAACUACUGCUCCAGUGCCGAUGGCUUUGUCAGGAACGGAUUCUCCAUUAUUUUAUUUCCUUGUACUCAUUAACAUGCUAAUUAUUUCAUUAUUUCAUGUAAUUCU